GGGAAAGCAAACCGUAGAAUUCAGGCUGGCAGGGAGGAAGGGAGGAGAAUGCUAUGAGGAAGGGAACAGGUAGGCUUCAGGGUUAUUUGGUUUUGGUAAAAAAAAAAAUAUUUGGUAAAAAAAAAUUAAACUAUUUCUUAAGCUAGGUGGUAGACAGACACUCUUUGGUGUGUAUGGUAUAUUUCACAAUGGAAAAAAAUACAUUAAAUUUCUAGUGAUUGCCCUUCUCCUUCCCUUCAGAAUAAAAUUCAGGUACAGAAAGCUGCCGGGAGCCGGUCUCUAGGUAUAGUUACCACUGCCGCGUGACAAGGUCCGCCAGUGGGCUGAGAAAUUGCAAGGCAAUUCUCAAGGGUUAAUAGGGAAAGUGCAAAGCAUCUGUGUAUGUAUCAUGCUUUUACUUUUGCUAUUUUUAUCCUGGAACUGCUGGGGAAUUAGGGGAAGUUCUGCUGGUCAGCUUCCUCCUUCCUCCCCUCAUAAAGUAGGUCAGAGGAACAUUGAUGGCCAUCCCAUAAGAGGAACUUGGCCAAAUCAGGAAAUUUUUACAGGAGGUAAAUGGUGGCACCCACCCAGGAACAGAGGCAUGCAAGAACUACCCCUUCCUAAGGCAACUCACGAUCCUGAUAAAGUUGCAAAGAAAUAUCAUAAUAUAUUGACACAGAGGAAUUGGGAUUAUGAUGAGGAUUGAGAACCCUAUAAAAUAGUUAAUGGUAAAAGAGAAACCCCAAGCACUGUGCCUGUGUGGCUUUCAAUCCCCUUAUACUUUGCAAUACUUCUGCUUUCAUUAUUACAGGAAUAAAGAUAGAGGCUUAGGGCCAUUCGACCCAUGAGAAACUAAGUCUAGACAUUACACCCCAUUUUGUAAUCAGUCUUAAACAUCUAGGCGCCUGGUAGACAUAUAGAAAAGGUCAAUAUCUAUAAUUAACAAAGGUUGCUUGCUUCUCACAGACAUACUGUGCUAAUAUUGUAACAAGAUACGCUUAUAUACCCAUUUUGUUUGCCAAAAUUAUGUACUGAAAUAAUUCCAUGAAAUCAUAAACACAUGACCUGGACCCUAUAUAAGUGCUUGAAUACUUCGAAUAAAUCAGACUUGGAAACCUCACUCCUUGUCUCACUGCAUCUCUCUCUCGCCGACUCCGUCCAUCCCUUCGGGAGACCCUGGACUCUGCUGGGGCUGGACCCUGGCAGAAAGCCAACAUGAUCUGCCCCUCUCCCACCCCUUUACCUUUCUCUCACCCUGGACUCUCCCAAGUUCUCCACACUCUAAUCAUGCAAACCUUCUUUCUGUUCCUUUAACACUCUACGUUCAUUCUCAACCUUGCAUUUUUCUCUUCCUUCUGCUUAUAACUGUUUCCUCGUGAUCUGUGUAGGACUAACUCCUUUUCACCAUUCAGGUCUCAACUCAAACAUCACCUCACCAGAAAGACUUUCCCUGAACAUCUCAUAGCAGUACUUGGGAAUUGCUAUUCAUUGACACCACAUGUGAAGAAACUUGCCAGGAUUGACUGCAAAAUCUAUCAGUUGAAGCAGAUGCUGAAAGACAGCAAAACUACAGCUAGAAUUUCUCAUCUGAAUUUCUCUCUUAAUCCCUGCUGGGAAUGAGAGGAGGAGAGCACAGAGCAACAAAGACAGACUUCACCACUCGAAACAACAGGAACAGCAAGACGCCUCAAACAGGACACCGUCAAAGUUACACAAGCAAUCACAACAACAGGGAUUUCAUAAUGUUCCAAAGUUCUAGCAGGACUCGGAGGAGGAAUGUGCCAACCACCCACAUCUGAAUCUCAUGGAUGCUAGUCUAAAAUGCAGCUUCUGGAGCCCACCCUAGGAGUGAAUCAGAAUCUUAAGAAGGAGCCUGAGAAUCUGAAUUUUAAACAGACUUGCAUUGAUAUAUAUGCAAAUUAAAGUUUGAGAACAAUUGGCCUAGGUGAAUUUUUUAAGAUGUGCACAAACAGACCUCACACAUGUUUUAUUAACAGCAGUUAAAAGUUUUCUUCCUGAUCCUUGGUUAAAAUAACAUCCUUGGCAUAGUCACGGUGCUAUAAUACAAAGAGCUGAUGCCUGAAUGCCUCCUUCCAGCUCUAUAAAUAACAAAUUGUUAUCCCUUGAAAUCAAUAAAAUAGAAAGCUUUCCUUCCUUAUUUCUUUCCUCUUAUAUCCUCCUCUUCAUAUUCUCUGCCCUAGUAACUCACCCUGAUGAAACUAAAAAUAAAUAAAUAAAAAGAGAGCGAUGGCACUUCAUUCACAAUCUCUCCCCCGUGUGGCAUGGAUCAUUCAAGUGAUGAAUUGCAUAUGCUUGCUAGUGGCUCAACAACUUGGUUAUUUAGUUAUUUUAGAGCUUUUAGUCAGCCUCCUUGAUUUAUUGCCUUAGGAAAUAACAAUAUAUUCCAAGACCAGGGAGAUAUCUCUCUAUGUAUCUAA